rnacentral:rRNA from 1 species
UACGAGGGGGCAAGCGUUGUUCGGAAUUAUUGGGCGUAAAGAGCGUGUAGGCGGUUUGGUAGGUCCGCUGUGAAAACUCGAGGCUCAACCUCGAGACGCCGGUGGAAACCAUCAGACUAGAGUCCGGAAGAGGAGAGUGGAAUUCCUGGUGUAGCGGUGAAAUGCGCAGAUAUCAGGAAGAACACCCGUGGCUAAGGCGGCUCUCUAGUACGGUACUGACGCUGAGACGCGAAAGCGUGGGGAGCGAACAGG